rnacentral:rRNA from 1 species
AGAGUUUGAUCCUAGCUCAGGAUGAACGCUGGCGGUGUGGAGAAGGCAUGCAAGUCGAACGAACCCUUCGGGGUUAGUGGCGAACGAGGUAGUAACACGUAGGAACGUGCCCUCAAGUCAGGAAUAACUGCGGGAAACCGUAGCUAAUACCUGAUAGUCCCUUCGGGGUAAAGAUUUAUCGCUUGAGGAUCGGCCUGCGCGCUAUCAGCUUGUUGGUGAGGUAAAAGCUCACCAAGGCUAUGACGGCUAGGGGGGGUGAGAGCCUGGUCCCCACCGAUGGCACUGAGACACGGGCCAUACACCUACGGGUGGCAGCAGUCGAGAGUCUUCCACAAUGGGCGAAAGCCUGAUGGAGCGACACCGCGUGUGGGAUGAAGUUCUUCGGAAUGUAAACCACUUUUGUAGAGGAAAAAUUUCGAUGAUAUUACUCUAAGAAUAAGGGGUUGCUAAACUCGUGCCAGCAGCAGCGGUAAUACGAGUACCCCGAGCGUUAUCCGGAUUUAUUGGGCGUAAAGGGUGUGUAGGGGGCAGUGUUAGUCUUGCUUUAAAACUCCCGGCUUAACCGGGAAGAUGGGCAAGAAACGGCACAGCUUUUGAGAAUGCGAGAGGUUUAUGGAACUUACGGUGUAGGGGUGAAAUCCGUUGAUAUCGUGGGGAACACCAAAGGCGAAGGCAAUAAACUGGCGCAUUUCUGACCCUGAGACACGAAAGCGUGGGUAGCGAAUGGGAUUAGAUACCCCAGUAGUCCACGCCCUAAACGAUGUUCUCUGGCUUUUCGGAGUAUCGACCCUCCGAGAGGCGAAGCUAACGCGUUAAGAGAACCGCCUGGGAAGUACGGCCGCAAGGCUAAAACUCAAAGGAAUAGACGGGGACUUGCACAAGCGGUGGAUCAUGUGGUUUAAUUCGAUGAUACACGAAGAACCUUACCAGGGCUUGAAACCUAGAUGACGAUUUUCCGAAAGGAAUUUUUUCUCACAAGGACGUCUAGGCAGGUGAUGCAUGGCUGUCGUCAGUUCGUGAUUUGAAUUGUUCCCUUAAGUGGGGUAACGAACGCAACCCUCAUCGUCUGUUAUAAGUGUCAGGCGAAACUGCCUUAGUAUAUAAGGAGGAAGGAGAGGAUGACGCCAAGUCAGCAUGUCCCUUUGACGCCCUGGGCUACACACAUGAUACAAUGGCCAAUACAAUGAGUCGCGAAAUCGCAAGAUGGAGCUAAUCUCAUCAAAGUUGGUCUCAGUUCGGAUUGAGGUCUGCAACUCGACCUCAUGAAGUCGGAAUCGCUAGUAAUCGCGGGUCAGCUAUACCGCGGUGAAUACGUUCCCAAGUCUUGUACUCACCGCCCGUCAAGUCAGGGAAGUCGGGAGUACCCGAAGUCUCUCCAC